GUAAAGAUGCUCAAGUCUGAAAAUGCUGACUAUGGAGGCGAAACCCAUACAACAGAAACUUAAUCAUUUGAAAAUAAACAGUUGGGCCAGCCACAGCCGUGCUCACCCGUAAUUCCUAGGACAAAGUUUUGAAUCAACGGUACUUGGAGGCCCUCGCCAUGCUCGAUAUCAAACAGCAGAAGGUGGCUCAGGAGAACACGGCGGAGGAGAGUGGCUUUACAGAGGUAUCAGGUCUCGAGCUUGCAGUCCUUGGAGCCUGCCUGUGUCAGGGUCCUGGAGGGAGCCCCUGUUCUUGUGCCAAAAUGGCAGCAUCCACUCGGAAACUGGUCCUUCAGCUCAGACAUGAGUUGGAAACUCUGCAGAAGAGUAAGGAAGAGGCACACAUAACAGCAGAUGCAUUCAGAAUCGC
rnacentral:lncRNA from 1 species